UGCAGGAUGCACCUUGAAGUCCAAAGGAAGAGUAAGAUCUUCUAAUACUGAAGGAGGAAGGUCUUGCACUUUGCUCAUUCCCAUUCGUUCCUCCCCAUGAUCCCGAGCCUCCCUUUGUCCUCUCUGGACAGAAGGAUCUGGCCAUUGCCUGCUGGCAAGGUAGGUUGAGGCGGUUCAAUCACCUGGCAAACACUGUGAUCUGAAUUCAGCUGAAUUCAGCUGUCAAGGCUCCCAUCAGCAGACAAGCACCAGAUGGGCCUCAGACAAGCAAUGACUGAAUGUGUUUGGGAGUUAGAGGAGCAACAGAGAUCAAAAAGAAAAUCAAGGUCCUUCUCUUUCACAGCAGCAAGCAGUUUUUUGGCUUGCUCUAGAAGAGAAUUUCAGCUCAGUCUGGCAUCUCAUUUAUGUCUGUAACAAUCUUGAUUUUAACAAGAUGCUGAUGGGUGGUUUAUAAAUAAAUAUAUAGAUAACUUAUUUAUAACUUUGACAAGGAAAUGUAUAAAUUAGUAUAACUAGAUAAAAAUGUGCUCUUUUUUUGUUGAGCUCUUGCAUAGUUGUGUAAUAGUCUUAAAUCUUUAACUUGCCAUAUAGAAACUCAGAAUUUCUGGUACAUGUUCCUGACUGCUUUUGACAUGGUCUUGACAGUUAAAAUCUUUGCUUGUAAUAUACAAUUUUAUAAGGGCCAUAAUUUAAGACUGCCUGCAGCAGCUGAAUAACAGGUUAAUGCUAAAAUUGACUUUAUGUUUACUCUCCUUACCAUUUAUGAGUGUUGAGGGUAAAGUGCUUUAGUACGAUAGAAGUACAAAAUCCUAUUUGUUAUCAUGCCUCUUAUUCUUGUCUCAAUUUUUCUCCGUUACCCUGUACAUCUUGCUUACCUGCACAGAGAGAUUGAAUAUUUCUAUGUGAAAUAGCUGGAACUUUUUUUUAUGUGCCAAAUGUCUUGUACUCGACUACCUGCAUGUGCAUUUCACUGUUGAGGAAGUAAAGCAUGUUGUAGAGCUCCUGAGGAAAACUUGGAAUUAAACAGUUUAAUUUUAACACGCAGUGUGCUGGGCAUAGUAACUAGCACUCAUUAUUUCUGUACGUUUAAAAAUACAAGACAAAGCCAAGUAUUUUGAAUGCUUCUUUUAGUAUGGAAUCACCUGAUUUGGAGAACUGAAGAAGUAUUGGCUUUUGCCUGUAUGACUGAUCCGUGCUAGAGACACGGCUUUAAGCGUUUGCAGUCCUGUAGCUAUGUCCUGUAGCAACACACAGCACGCUGCAGAACAGCCAGACUAGCGCUCUCUUCUAAGAGCUCUUCAUUGAAGGAGAUUCAAAAGAAACCAGUGUA